GAAGAUUGGAAAGUACAAGUUCCACAUUUGCCACACCAAGUGCUAUACCUGGGCACCCUCUUCUACCUGCUCCAAAUGGAAUCAACUCAAAAUCUUGGCCCUUAAAAUCAAUAUCAUUAUUUAAGAACCUCUCAGGUAUAAAUUCUUCUGGAUUUUUCCAUAUUUCAGGAUCCCUUCCAAUUGCCCAAGCAUUAACAUAAACUAUAGUUUUUGGUUUAAUUUCAUAUCCUUCUAGUAUGGAAUUUUGCAUCGUCUCUCUUGCUACUAACAAUGGAACUGCUGGAUACAAUCUAAAUGUCUCUUUUAUCACUGCUUUAAAAUAUGGAAGAUUUUGGACGUUAUCUUCAUUCACUAUGGACUUUUCCCCAACCGAUUCUCUAAUUUCUGCUUGAACUUUGUUCAUGGAAUUUGGAUUUGCCAUCAAGGCUGUCAUUGCCCAAAUUAUUGUAGCUGCGCUAGUGUCCGUUCCAGCAACUAGCAUAUUCUACGAGAGAAAAUGGGAGGAUAAAAACAUAGCCACCAACUAUAUCUUCAUGUAUUCAAAAACUUUGUAUUUCUCAUUUUAUUUAUAUUAAAAUAUUUU
rnacentral:lncRNA from 1 species